UACAGAGACUGCAAGCGUUAUUCGGAUUUACUGGGCGUAAAGGGUGCGCAGGCGGUUUGGUGUGUCCGAUGUGAAAUCCCGAGGCUUAACCUCGGAACUGCGUCUGAAACUACUCGACUAGAGUACUGGAGAGGGAAACGGAAUUCACGGUGUAGCAGUGAAAUGCGUAGAUAUCGUGAGGAACACCAGAGGCGAAGGCGGUUUCCUGGACAGUUACUGACGCUCAGGCACGAAAGCAUGGGGAGCAAAAGGG
rnacentral:rRNA from 1 species